GCGAUGGUGGCCUUGACUGUUGAUCCGAAAGCAUUUGUGGGUUAUAGCAGUGCUUUUCACGAUGUUGGAGAUGUUUCUCGUAACACAUGAAGUGAUUAACAGCAGGUACCGUGUGACCAAGGACCCAAUUGAAUUUUGGAGAGUAAUCUACACCGCAGUAUAUUAUGAUGUAAGUGCACCUCAUGGCAAUACAGAGGGGACAACUUCUGGAUCAUGAUCUAACUUUUGCCCCAAUGAAUGAAGGUUUCAGAAAAUCAGUUCUACCUUACAAAGAUUGUGACUACUUUCCCAGAAUACACCCAGAGUAUUAACUAAUUAGGAUUCUCAACAAUGACUCAUACAUUCUAUCUGUCAAGAUGACUACUGGUCAACAAAAUUGCAUAUAUUUUGUAUGUUCCCUUUCUAGAUAACUAACUCCUUGUGUCUUAUAGUACUAAUGCAGGCUUAUGAAAUUAAUACUCUUCAAAAUGUUGUUACAUCUGAUAUAUGUAUACAAUUAUGUAACAAUGGAUUUUAAAAUAAA